GCGCCGUGGAUACUGAGGAGGGCGCGGGGUGGCCGCGAGGAAGGGGUGCGGGCGGCGGGAAGCGGAGUCUGUGGGUGCUGUGAGAGCGAGGUGGAGAUGAAGAUCUGCCUUCAGCCCUCCGGCGUCGUUCGGGGGCAGGCGGGCCGGAACUAUGCGGGGAGCGCAGCGCCUCGUGGCUUGAGAGCCGCGGGCGGCGCUCGGUCCUGUCCGUGUGGGAAGGAGCGGUUACAGCUGAAUAGUCUUCUGCUACGGGGAGCGGCGUUGGAAAAACACAGCUACUAAAGCAGCCGGCUUGCCCCGAGGACUAAAUUCGAUAGCUAAGCGCUUGGGUUCACGUCAGAUUGCGUUUGGCUGCAGGCCACGUGCCUGGCGUCGCCCCAGAGGGGUGAGCGGCAAAAGCUUCAUCCCAAAUCACCACAGGGAAUGAGGGCAGCGGUUGUUUGGGAAAAAAUCACCAAGUGACUAAGCUAAUCGCGUGAUUUUGACAAGGCUGAGUCAUAAGUGAAUGCUGGGUUCCCCCCCAGGCAAGAAUCUGUCAAAAUUUAUCGCUAAUUUACUAACUUUUCUCCUGGAGUCCUGCAGAAGUCCACUGCAGUGUUGGAAAAAGCUUAACGGGGCUGAAAGCUGGAAGAGGUAAAACUUGUGGCUUUGGCUGAGGUUGACCAGAAAUGCAAAGGAAACAUCGCCCCCUCUUUAUUCAAUAAGGACAAAUUUGUCUCUCGUUUUGUGAAGCACAGGAAUGGGAAGGAACCACGCUCAAUGAUUUUCUGCAUCGGUUUCUGUCCUUUUUCUUGACACGCCCUGCUACCACUCCCUGUCUUUUGUUUCUAGCAAGUGUUGCUCUUCUGUCCUAAGGCAGAGAACCAGCAGUGAAAAUGGCUGUUUAAUAUUAAAAGGGAGAAACAAGAAAAGGAGACGAACAUACAAACAUGCACGGUUUUUGCAUGCAGCAUUUCCAACAUCUGUAACCCUCCCAGGAGUCUAAUUUACAAGGAGUGGAGCUGCCAGAAAGGAAACCUUCAGAAAGGAGCUGAAGUUGGUUUAUGCACAAACCUGCACUGCAGAGACAGCAUCAUCACCUGGUCAAGGCCUGUGUCUGCCCUGACUUUGUCUGGAGACAAACCAAAGCUGCAGCAGCUCCCUGACGUGCUGAUGCCGAGAUGCAUGUGUGGUGGAAGUGUAGGAAGAGAGAAACAGAGGGUUUUGGUUGAUGUUCUGUGUCAGGUAAAAUGUGUUUUCAUCAGAAUUUGGCAAUGGGAGCCUUCUUUAAAAUGAGGUAAAGCAGCAAUUUUAUCUCCCAGAGCAGGAAGAAAGCUGUGCUUCCUGACCAGAAACAUUGUACAGAGCUUAUGGAUGAAGGCUGUGGAAUGUUCAGAGCCAGGCUGAUUCUGUAAGAGCAGUAGGAUACUGCCUCUGCUCUGCCCAUCCUACACAUGCACAGAGGGCUGCUUGGACUGUGAGCAUCAAAGCAGACAUUCAUUCAUUCAUCCAUAUUCUCCAUUUCAUUUGUGCAAAAUUGCAGCGCACCGAUUUCACAAAGCAGAUCAGCGCUCAGGACCAGAAGUUACUGUGAAGCAGGAUGUGCUCUUAGUUAACAGGCUCCUACCACUUCCCCAGUGAUGCUGAGCCAAGUCCAGGCACACAGCGUCCACAGCGAAGGGGCACCCUGCCAGGCUCUGCUUUUAGCACUGCAGACUGCCCUGGGUCUGGCAAAUGGUGAUGAAAUUUACAGCAACAACAGGUAGGAUACCCCAGUGACCUCUGGUAGUAUCAGAUACACUCAUUUAUAGCCUUUGUUU